rnacentral:rRNA from 1 species
UGAGGAAGAUAAUGACGGUACUCAACAAGGAAGUGACGGCUAACUACGUGCCAGCAGCCGCGGUAAAACGUAGGUCACAAGCGUUGUCCGGAAUUACUGGGUGUAAAGGGAGCGCAGGCGGGAGAACAAGUUGGAAGUGAAAUCCAUGGGCUCAACCCAUGAACUGCUUUCAAAACUGUUUUUCUUGAGUAGUGCAGAGGUAGGCGGAAUUCCCGGUGUAGCGGUGGAAUGCGUAGAUAUCGGGAGGAACACCAGUGGCGAAGGCGGCCUACUGGGCACCAACUGACGCUGAGGCUCGAAAGUGUGGGUAGCAAACAGGAUUAGAUACCCUGGUAGUCCACACCGUAAACGAUGAUUACUAGGUGUUGGAGGAUUGACCCCUUCAGUGCCGCAGUUAACACAAUAAGUAAUCCACCUGGGGAGUACGACCGCAAGGUUGAAACUCAAAGGAAUUGACGGGGGCCCGCACAAGCAGUGGAGUAUGUGGUUUAAUUCGACGCAACGCGAAGAACCUUACCAAGUCUUGACAUCCUGCGACGCACAUAGAAAUAUGUGUUUCCUUCGGGACGCAGAGACAGGUGGUGCAUGGUUGUCGUCAGCUCGUGUCGUGAGAAUGUUGGGUUAAGUCCCGCAACGAGCGCAAUCCUUAUGGUCAGUUACUACGCAAGAGGACUCUGGCCGGACUG